UUGGCGCCAAACCACAGCUGGGAGCUGCCGCACACCUGCCUGAGGAGAGGUCUCUGUGAGGAGGUGGCCAAAGCCUGGGCUGCAUCCCUAACUGCUAAACUGUUUCGAAAAAGAUGAAAAAAACUGUAUUUACCACUACUGGAUAGCUGGUGGAGUACAGCAAGAAAGCUCACGUUAUCAGAGAGCAUCGCCAACAGUAACUGGUGCUGGCAAGUGGCAGAAUGAGAAGCUGAACUGUGUUUAUCUUGGAUAAACCCAGUCAGCGCUGCAGGAGGUUCUUGAAUUCCUUCAAUAGAAGACUGUUGAACAGAAAACUUAUUUGGCAGUAAGAUAACUUAGUGAACUCAAGACAGGUCAUCUAUGAAGAUUCCGUCUGGACAGGCUGGUUCUUCAGCUUUGAAUUUCAAUUGCCAAAUGCCAGGUUUCCUCGGGUUUCAGACUGUCGCUUAAGGACACGGACAUUUGGAAAGAGAAAACUGUAGCCUGACUGGAAGCAAAGCAAGAGACUACAUAUGAGUCCCUUGAUUCUCCACAUCUUUCAUGCUAGCAAGACCCAGGAAGCUUUAAUAUUUCAGCUGCUCUGCCUCCAGUGGCUGGUCUGUUUGAAGGCUGCGGGGAAGCUGCUGGACUUGAGGAUAUGAUGAAAUUUGGUUAGACAGGUGGAUAACCUAAGCUGAAUUAAUUAAGGUGAUGAAGAAUGCUGAUGGUAUGAGAAGGCAUGGCUUCUGGCUCAGGUAGCACAACUGCCAAGACACUUCCACUGAUAGACAGCUUCGACUUUCGCCUUCAGAGGAGUCCAAUUCACAAGCUGGAGCAGCGUGUGCCCACCGUGAUAGGAAGGGAGUGGCAAGAGCCAAGCUGCUGUGUGCCAGGCAAAGGAGUGAAACACAUAGGAGUGUUUUCUGCUUCUCAGUAGAUGUACUCAACAAACAUUCAGAUUUUCAGAUGGGCAGGUGUCUCAAGGCAUUAUGAGCUACUGCAGUGCUUGCCGGCUUGGGUUACCUUCUGAAGUCUGCUGCAAGAGGAUCAGGUUUUUGGGAAACAUUUGUAAAUAGUGAUAUGUGGUUUCCAUGUGCUUAAACUGUGAUGCACUGUGACCAUCUUUUUUAAUAGGCACUUUUCUAAUUUCUUAAUGACACUUGUAAUCAUUGUGAUUUAAAUAAGUUUUGAUGAUUCAUAUAGUUGAGGCUAAAUGUUGUAAAUCAAAGCUAUUGAUAAACCUCAUGAUACAGGAAGCAAAAGCCUGAUUUUUUAAAUACUCUAAGCCCUCCCCUUGCUUGCACACUUGCACAUGUAUGCACAGAGACACGCAUGCAUGUACAUGCACAUUUCAGCUCUAACAUAGAAAAUGUGCUCCAAUCGUGGUGGAUGAAAGUGUUACAUGAGAGCUUGUGAAGCCUGCUUUGGCAGGGGAGUUGGACUGGAUGAUCUCUAGAGCUCCCUUCCAGCCCCUACAAUUCUGUGUUUCUCUGAUUCUGUGAAGCACUGUACACAAAUGUUGUGCUGAACAGGGCUGCUCUGGAGUCAGAGGGUGCCUGUUCACAGUUUUCCAGGAGGCUAUUGGGUUUGGUUGCCUGCAGAACCAGGAAAGCUGCACAAUGUUUGAUCAUCUUCUGAAAAAUGUUUUGCAAAUGUUAAGCCUAGGAACUGAAAUUCUGCUGUUCCAUUAGUAAUGUAGGAAGUAAGUGUUAGUGCACUGCCGAAAAAUUAUCUGCAAUUGAUAAUUUGCAUCUUACGGAGC